rnacentral:misc_RNA from 1 species
GAAAUGCGAUAAGUACUGUGAAUUGCAGAAUUCAGUGAAUCAUCGAAUCUUUGAACGCACCUUGCGCUCCUUGGUAUUCCUUGGAGCAUGCCUGUUUGAGUAUCAUGAAAUCUUCAAAGUAAAUCUUUUGUUAACUCAAUUGGUUUCUACUUUGGUAUUGGAGGUCUUUGCAGCUUCACACCUGCUCCUCUUUGUUCAUUAGCUGGAUCUCAGUGUUAUGCUUGGUUCCACUCGGCGUGAUAAGUUAUCUAUCGCUGAGGACACUGUAAAAGGUGGCCAAGGUAAAUGCAGAUGAACCGCUUCUAAUAGUCCAUUGACUUGGACAAUACUUUUAUGAUCUGAUCUCAAAUCAGGUAGGACUACCCGCUGAACUUAAGC